rnacentral:rRNA from 1 species
GACGAACGCUGGCGGCGUGCCUAAUACAUGCAAGUAGAACGCUGAAGGAGGAGCUUGCUUCUCUGGAUGAGUUGCGAACGGGUGAGUAACGCGUAGGUAACCUGCCUGGUAGCGGGGGAUAACUAUUGGAAACGAUAGCUAAUACCGCAUAAGAGUAGAUGUCGCAUGACAUUUGCUUAAAAGGUGCAAUUGCAUCACUACCAGAUGGACCUGCGUUGUAUUAGCUAGUUGGUGAGGUAACGGCUCACCAAGGCAACGAUACAUAGCCGCCCUGAGAGGGGGACCGGCCACCCGGGAACUGAGACACGGCCCAGACUCCUGGGGGAGGCCGACGAGGGGAAUCUUCGGAAAGGGUCGGAAGUUUGACCGGGCAACCCCGCGUGGUGGAAGAAGGUUUUCGGGUCGGAAAGCUGUUUUGUAAGGAAAAACGGGAGGGGGGGGUGGAAGGUUACGCAUGGGAGGGGAUUUCACCAGAAAGGGGCGGACAACACGGU